AUGACGAUUGUGUCCUCUGAUCUGGGUUGGAUUUUUGGUGGAGUGGACUUAUCAAAAUUGUUCCUGUGCACCCACCUUUGUCGUGAGUCGAGGGUGGAUUUGACCGUGGUUGGCUGCAACACGGCGUCGUUUCCCAAGAUGAAUGAAAUGCGAGCGCUAAUUUUGUCGGCUGGUAUUUUCCACCCCUCUUUUUUUGAAUUUGUUUUUUCCGACGCCAUUCUGGGCAAUCGAUCCCCGAAACUCCGAGAAAAUUCAUCCAGCAACUGUGGCUGGAUUUUCGACGAAUAUUUCAAGAGAGCAGAUUUGGAUGACGAUGGUCGGAUCAGUGAAGCUGAAGCUGUUGCUUUCUUUCAAGGUUCUGGUUUACCCAAACUGGUCCUUGAAUCAGGUUGGAUGCUUGCUAACCAGCAAAAAGUUGGUUUCCUUGGUCAACAAGAGUUCUAUAAUUUUCUUAAGCUUGUUACUGUAGCACAAAGUAAGCAUGAACUGACUCCAUAUGGUGAAGGCAGCAUUGUUGGUACUGCUUCAGCUAAAAUACCUGCUCCUCAGAUAAACCUUGCAGUGACGUCUACUCCUAAAGCAGCGGCACCUGCUCUUCAGAUGGAUGGCAUCACAUCAGUGGCAUCUCAAAGUAUUGGUAUCAGACUACAACAGAUGCCCGGAAAUGCAAGCACAAAACAUCAAUAUUUCCCAUCUCAGCAAAAUCAGUUUGUGAGGCCACAACAAUCUCUGCCUCCCAACUCCGUGUUCCAUACACCAGAAGUUCGUGCAAGUGGCCCUAUGACCCAAAAUGAAGGUAGGGGAGUUAGUCCUCCUUCAAUUCAGGAUGGAUUUGGGCUAACAGCAUCGGGGUUAAUGCACUAUGUCCGACCUAGACCACAGUUGACCACUGAACAGACACCUUCUAGUACAUCGAACCCUCAAGGUGCAGCUGCUGCCUCCUACCAAUCAGCAUCUAAGGAUUCUAAAAUUUCAGGGAAUGAAUUUGCAUCUGCAUCACUUUUUGGAGAUGUAUUUUCUGCAACUUCUUCUCAACCAGCACAAAGGGCCUCCUCAGCUGUGUCGUCUACAAGUAGCUUACUUGUCUCAUUAAGAAUUAAUCCAUCUUGUGUGGGGCCCCAACCUUCAGUCAUGCCAAGUCUCUUGACAACUUGCAGAGUACAUUUUCUCAGCAAGCUGUUGGUGAGCAAUCAACAGGAAGACAGACACGGCCGGUUGCCACUCAAGGUUCUGCUGUUACUCAUUCUGGGUUUCCUGUUGGAGCUCGGAAUUCAGACUCGAGUAAAUCCCUACCCCCAUGGCAAAGAUGACUCAGUCUGGUAUUUAAAAGUACAUGGAAGUGUUUAUGCAGGUAGACAUGGAUAGAGACGGAAAAAUUACCGGUGAACAGGCAGGCAACCUUUUCUUAAGUUGGACUCUGCCAAGAGAGAUCUUAAAACAGGUUUGGGAUUUAUCUGAUCAAGCUAAUGACAGUAUGCUUUCUUUGAGGGAGUUUUGUAUAGCUCUAUAUCUGAUAGAACGUUAUAGAGAAGGCCGUCCUCUUCCUACAACACUUCCGGCUCUUUAAUGUCUGAUGAGAUUCUGUUAUCUGCCACAAGCCACCUUACAGCUUUGUAUGGCUGUGGAACUUGGGGACCUGCUUCUGGAUCAUGACCACCAUAAGUUCUGAUGGUUCUGUGGCCAGCUCCUGCUGCUGCAGCAAUUCCACCAAGGCCUCCUGUUCAAUAUGCUGAUGAAAAACCACCCCCUCAACAAAAGCCCAAAGUUCCUGUGCUAAAAAAGCAUCUUGUUGAUCAACUUAGCCAGGAGGAGCAGGAUUCUCUGAAUUCAAAGUUGCUGAUAAAAAG